rnacentral:misc_RNA from 1 species
GAUGAAGAACGUAGCGAAAUGCGAUAAGUAGUGUGAAUUGCAGAAUUCAGUGAAUCAUCGAAUCUUUGAACGCACAUUGCGCCCCUUGGUAUUCCAUGGGGCAUGCCUGUUCGAGCGUCAUUUGUACCUUCAAGCUUUGCUUGGUGUUGGGUGUUUGUCUCGCCUUUGCGUGUGGACUCGCCUUAAAAUAAUUGGCAGCCGGCGUAUUGAUUUCGGAGCGCAGUACAUCUCGCGCUUUGCACUCAUAACGACAGCGUCCAAAAGUACAUUUUACACUCUUGACCUCGGAUCAGGUAGGGAUACCCGCUGAACUUAAGCAUAUCAAUAAGCGGAGGA